AGCAGCCGCGGUAAUUCCAGCUCCAAUAGCGUAUAUUAAAGUUGUUGCAGUUAAAAAGACUCGUAGUUGAAUUUCGAGAUCAAAUUGUUGGUCGUGCCUCGGUACGCACUGGCAUUAUUGAUUUCUCCCUUCUGACGAUCCGCGAUGUCAUUAAUUUGGUGUCGUGGGGAAUCAGGACUGUUACUUUGAAAAAUUAGAGUGUUUAAAGCAGGCUCACGCUUGAAUACAUUAGCAUGGAAUAAUGAAAUAGGACGUUUGAUUCUAUUUUGUUGGUUUCUAGGAUCGACGUAAUGAUUAAUAGGGAUAGUUGGGGGCAUUAGUAUUCAAUUGUCAGAGGUGAAAUUCUUGGAUUUAUUGA
rnacentral:sRNA from 1 species